GAUGAACGCUGGCGGCGUGCCUAAUACAUGCAAGUCGAGCGAACAGACGAGGAGCUUGCUCCUCUGACGUUAGCGGCGGACGGGUGAGUAACACGUGGAUAACCUACCUAUAAGACUGGGAUAACUUCGGGAAACCGGAGCUAAUACCGUAUAAUAUAUUGAACCGCAUGGUUCAAUAGUGAAAGACGGUUUUGCUGUCACUUAUAGAUGGAUCCGCGCCUCAUUAGCUAGUUGGUAAGGUAACGGCUUACCAAGGCAACGAUGCGUAGCCGACCUGAGAGGGGGAUCGGCCACACUGGAACUGAGACACGGUCCAGACACAUAGGGGAGGCAGCAGUAGGGAAUCUUACGAAAUGGGCGAAAGCCUGACGGAGCAACGCCGCGUGAGUGAUGAAGGUCUUCGGAUCGUAAAACUCUGUUAUUAGGGAAGAACAAAUGUGUAAGUAACUAUGCACGUCUUGACGGUACCGAAUCAGAAAGCCACGGCGAACUACGU
rnacentral:rRNA from 1 species